GGUUAAGCGACUAAGCGUACACGGUGGAUGCCCUGGCAGUCAGAGGCGAUGAAGGACGUGCUAAUCUGCGAUAAGCGUCGGUAAGGUGAUAUGAACCGUUAUAACCGGCGAUUUCCGAAUGGGGAAACCCAGUGUGAUUCGUCACACUAUCAUUAACUGAAUCCAUAGGUUAAUGAGGCGAACCGGGGGAACUGAAACAUCUAAGUACCCCGAGGAAAAGAAAUCAACCGAGAUUCCCCCAGUAGCGGCGAGCGAACGGGGAGCAGCCCAGAGCCUGAAUCAGUGUGUGUGUUAGUGGAAGCGUCUGGAAAGGCGUGCGAUACAGGGUGACAGCCCCGUACACAAAAAUGCACAUACUGUGAGCUCGAUGAGUAGGGCGGGACACGUGGUAUCCUGUCUGAAUAUGGGGGGACCAUCCUCCAAGGCUAAAUACUCCUGACUGACCGAUAGUGAACCAGUACCGUGAGGGAAAGGCGAAAAGAACCCCGGCGAGGGGAGUGAAAAAGAACCUGAAACCGUGUACGUACAAGCAGUGGGAGCACGCUUAGGCGUGUGACUGCGUACCUUUUGUAUAAUGGGUCAGCGACUUAUAUUCUGUAGCAAGGUUAACCGAAUAGGGGAGCCGAAGGGAAACCGAGUCUUAACUGGGCGUUAAGUUGCAGGGUAUAGACCCGAAACCCGGUGAUCUAGCCAUGGGCAGGUUGAGGGUUGGGUAACACUAACUGGAGGACCGAACCGACUAAUGUUGAAAAAUUAGCGGAUGACUUGUGGCUGGGGGUGAAAGGCCAAUCAAACCGGGAGAUAGCUGGUUCUCCCCGAAAGCUAUUUAGGUAGCGCCUCGUGAAUUCAUCUCCGGGGGUAGAGCACUGUUUCGGCAAGGGGGUCAUCCCGACUUACCAACCCGAUGCAAACUGCGAAUACCGGAGAAUGUUAUCACGGGAGACACACGGCGGGUGCUAACGUCCGUCGUGAAGAGGGAAACAACCCAGACCGCCAGCUAAGGUCCCAAAGUCAUGGUUAAGUGGGAAACGAUGUGGGAAGGCCCAGACAGCCAGGAUGUUGGCUUAGAAGCAGCCAUCAUUUAAAGAAAGCGUAAUAGCUCACUGGUCGAGUCGGCCUGCGCGGAAGAUGUAACGGGGCUAAACCAUGCACCGAAGCUGCGGCAGCGACGCUUAUGCGUUGUUGGGUAGGGGAGCGUUCUGUAAGCCUGUGAAGGUGUGCUGUGAGGUAUGCUGGAGGUAUCAGAAGUGCGAAUGCUGACAUAAGUAACGAUAAAGCGGGUGAAAAGCCCGCUCGCCGGAAGACCAAGGGUUCCUGUCCAACGUUAAUCGGGGCAGGGUGAGUCGACCCCUAAGGCGAGGCCGAAAGGCGUAGUCGAUGGGAAACAGGUUAAUAUUCCUGUACUUGGUGUUACUGCGAAGGGGGGACGGAGAAGGCUAUGUUGGCCGGGCGACGGUUGUCCCGGUUUAAGCGUGUAGGCUGGUUUUCCAGGCAAAUCCGGAAAAUCAAGGCCGAGGCGUGAUGACGAGGCACUACGGUGCUGAAGCAACAAAUGCCCUGCUUCCAGGAAAAGCCUCUAAGCAUCAGGUAACAUCAAAUCGUACCCCAAACCGACACAGGUGGUCAGGUAGAGAAUACCAAGGCGCUUGAGAGAACUCGGGUGAAGGAACUAGGCAAAAUGGUGCCGUAACUUCGGGAGAAGGCACGCUGAUACGUAGGUGAAGCGACUUGCUCGUGGAGCUGAAAUCAGUCGAAGAUACCAGCUGGCUGCAACUGUUUAUUAAAAACACAGCACUGUGCAAACACGAAAGUGGACGUAUACGGUGUGACGCCUGCCCGGUGCCGGAAGGUUAAUUGAUGGGGUUAGCGCAAGCGAAGCUCUUGAUCGAAGCCCCGGUAAACGGCGGCCGUAACUAUAACGGUCCUAAGGUAGCGAAAUUCCUUGUCGGGUAAGUUCCGACCUGCACGAAUGGCGUAAUGAUGGCCAGGCUGUCUCCACCCGAGACUCAGUGAAAUUGAACUCGCUGUGAAGAUGCAGUGUACCCGCGGCAAGACGGAAAGACCCCGUGAACCUUUACUAUAGCUUGACACUGAACAUUGAGCCUUGAUGUGUAGGAUAGGUGGGAGGCUUUGAAGUGUGGACGCCAGUCUGCAUGGAGCCGACCUUGAAAUACCACCCUUUAAUGUUUGAUGUUCUAACGUGGACCCGUAAUCCGGGUUGCGGACAGUGUCUGGUGGGUAGUUUGACUGGGGCGGUCUCCUCCUAAAGAGUAACGGAGGAGCACGAAGGUUGGCUAAUCCUGGUCGGACAUCAGGAGGUUAGUGCAAUGGCAUAAGCCAGCUUGACUGCGAGCGUGACGGCGCGAGCAGGUGCGAAAGCAGGUCAUAGUGAUCCGGUGGUUCUGAAUGGAAGGGCCAUCGCUCAACGGAUAAAAAGGUACUCCGGGGAUAACAGGCUGAUACCGCCCAAGAGUUCAUAUCGACGGCGGUGUUUGGCACCUCGAUGUCGGCUCAUCACAUCCUGGGGCUGAAGUAGGUCCCAAGGGUAUGGCUGUUCGCCAUUUAAAGUGGUACGCGAGCUGGGUUUAGAACGUCGUGAGACAGUUCGGUCCCUAUCUGCCGUGGGCGCUGGAGAACUGAGGGGGGCUGCUCCUAGUACGAGAGGACCGGAGUGGACGCAUCACUGGUGUUCGGGUUGUCAUGCCAAUGGCACUGCCCGGUAGCUAAAUGCGGAAGAGAUAAGUGCUGAAAGCAUCUAAGCACGAAACUUGCCCCGAGAUGAGUUCUCCCUGACCCUUUAAGGGUCCUGAAGGAACGUUGAAGACGACGACGUUGAUAGGCCGGGUGUGUAAGCGCAGCGAUGCGUUGAGCUAACCGGUACUAAUGAACCGUGAGGCUUAACCUU
rnacentral:rRNA from 1 species